rnacentral:misc_RNA from 1 species
AAGUCGUAACAAGGUUUCCGUAGGUGAACCUGCGGAAGGAUCAUUAACACGUAUCCAACGUUAAACAACCCUGUGAACCUUGAACGUGCUCCUGCAGCCCAUGAAUCCUGUGACCAGCUUUUGAGUCAGGGACCUCUGCCGAAACGGCUGUUCAGUACCGAGCGCGGUGUAAGCGACCUGACAUCCCCAAGCGAUCAGUGUCUGAAAGUGUCAUUGAUUGUGUAAGGAUGGCGCAGUAAACGAUUGCUAGAGGCCACACGGCCGGCAACCGGGUCCCAGGGCUCACGCCCCUUCCGACUUAAUACGGAUGCCGUAAAAAACUGAACAACUGUUAACAAUGGAUAUCUUGGUUCUC